ACUAUUCCCAUCAUAAACAGAGUGACCCUUUUAAAGCUCAGACUCUGCAAUAACAGCUGCCCAUCUCACUCACGGAGAAAGAACAGGACCAGAAGGGCCCAGGGAUGGAAGGACCAACACAUGGUUGGAUGACAGACCCCGAAGGGCCCUUGUGGAGGGGCUCCAUGGGAGUUGGCUGUGAAACCACCCAGGUUGAGGUUCCCCUGUGGGCUUGAGUCAUGCCCCGCCAAAGCUUGCAAAGUGGAGGCUGUGUCGCAUUUUCUGUUUUCCCAAUGCCUGACACCCAGUGGACACUAAUAAAUGUUUAACGAAU
rnacentral:lncRNA from 1 species